CCUCCGGGAGGCAGCAGUGAGGAAUAUUGGUCAAUGGGCGCAAGCCUGAACCAGCCAAGUCGCGUGAGGGAAGACGGCCCUACGGGUUGUAAACCUCUUUUGCCGGGGAGCAAGCCUGAGCACGUGUGCCCAGGCGGAGAGUACCCGGAGAAAAAGCAUCGGCUAACUCCGUGCCAGCAGCCGCGGUAAUACGGAGGAUGCGAGCGUUAUCCGGAUUUAUUGGGUUUAAAGGGUGCGUAGAUGGGUUGUUAAGUCAGUUGUGAAAGUUUGCGGCUCAACCGUAAAAUUGCAAUUGAUACUGGCAGCCUUGAGUACAGUUGAGGUAGGCGGAAUUCGUGGUGUAGCGGUGAAAUGCUUAGAUAUCACGAAGAACUCCGAUUGCGAAGGCAGCCUACUAAACUGCCACUGACAUUGAUGCUCGAAAGUGUGGGUAUCAAACAGGAUUAGAUACCCUUGUAGUC
rnacentral:rRNA from 1 species